GCGCCUCUCGUAGGCGUUUCGAAAAUGAAUCAAAACUUUCAACAACGGAUCUCUUGGUUCUGGCAUCGAUGAAGAACGCAGCGAAAUGCGAUAAGUAAUGUGAAUUGCAGAAUUCAGUGAAUCAUCGAAUCUUUGAACGCACAUUGCGCCCGCCAGUAUU
rnacentral:rRNA from 1 species